rnacentral:rRNA from 1 species
UUAUUAACUUGCUUGACUAGGUCUUAUAAAGUUCUGGAUAAAGCUUAUUAUGAAAACUUUAUAUCCAUAGGUCUCGACCAAAUCUUGUGCCAGCAGUCGCGGUAAGACAAGGGAGACGAGUGUUAUUCAUCUUUAACAGGUAUAUAGGGUACCUAGACGGUGUGCAAUGGCUUAAAUAAGUACCUGGUACACUUGAGUUUGAUAUGUGAGAGGAAUAUGUCGGAAUUGUUGGAGGAAAGAUGAAAUUUGUUAAUACCAAUAGGACUGAUAACGGCGAAGGCAAACCUCUAUGUACAUGUACUUGCUAUUUCUAUUU